GGCAUCGUAGUUCAGCUGGUAGAGCGUGCGUUGUACAAAAGCAUAGGCAACGUCCGUGCGUGGGUUUGAAUCCCACCGAGGCUA
rnacentral:tRNA from 1 species